rnacentral:rRNA from 1 species
UACGUAGGCAGCGAGCGUUGUUCGGAGUUACUGGGCGUAAAGAGCUCGUAGGCGGUUUGUCGCGUCUGCCGUGAAAGUCCGGGGCUCAACUCCGGAUCUGCGGUGGGUACGGGCAGACUUGAGUUCGGUAGGGGAGACUGGAAUUCCUGGUGUAGCGGUGAAAUGCGCAGAUAUCAGGAGGAACACCGGUGGCGAAGGCGGUUCUCUGGAACAUUUCUGACGCUGAGGCUCGAAAGCGUGGGGAGCAAACAGG